UCUGCCCUAGCGCGACUUGCAGACAUUUUCGAUCGUCAACCUUAAAUCAUGCUUCCUUCAAUCAUCUCAAAACUACAUUAUUUCCGCUCACACCGCUCUAUUCUUCUCUCGAAGCUUCAAAUUCUCCUCCUUUAUCAUACUUCUCCGCGCUCAAAUCCUCAAUUUCCUCACAGAGUGUCGCUGCAUCCUUCUCGAACCCAACCGACAACCAGCUUCCCGGGCAACCCGUCUCCGACCCACUUCGAAAAAUCGAUUUUUGAAACGGAAACAGUUCUUGAAACUCUCAAUUCUUAUGCCAAUGACUGGAAGCUCGCGCUGGAGUUCUUCAACUGGGUUGAAAGCGAGUGUGAGUUCCGGCACACAGCUCACACACUCAAUCGGAUUGUGGACAUUCUUGGUAAGUUUUUCGAGUUCGAAAUCGCCUGGGAGCUUAUUGAAAGAAUGCGGAUAAAUGGGUGCUGUUUGCCUGAUCACACGACUUUUAGGGUGUUGUUUAACCGUUAUGUAUCGGCUCACCUUAUUAAAGAAGCAAUUGAUGCUUUUGUUAGAUCGAAUGAUUAUAAUUUGAGGGAUGAAGUUUCGUUUUCGAAUUUGAUUGAUGCUUUGUGCGAGUACAAGCAUGUGAUAGAGGCUGAAGAACUAUGCUUCAAGAAAAGUUGGGGCGACCAAUAUCGUGACGUUUUGCUUUGUUUUAAUGUGGAAAAUACAAAAAUUUAUAACAUGAUUCUACGCGGUUGGUUUAAAAUGGAGUGGUGGAGGAAGUGUAGGGAGUUUUGGGAGGAGAUGGAUAAGAGGGGUGUGGAGAAAGACUUGUAUUCGUACUCGAUAUAUAUGGACAUCCAAAACAAAAGUGGGAAGCCGUGGAAGGCUGUGAAGCUGUACAAGGAGAUGAGGAAGAAGGGUAUUGAACUGGAUGUGGUGGCAUACAACACAGUGAUUCGUGGUAUUGGGAUUUCAGAAGGGGUUGAUGUGGCAGUGAGGCUCUACAAAGAGAUGGCUGAAUUAGGUUGUUCACCAAAUGUUGUAACUUUCAACACGAUUCUAAAGCUUUUGUGCGAGAAUGGAAGGUAUAGAGAAGCACAUAGGGUGCUUGAUCUCAUGACUAGAAAAGGUUGUCCGCCGAAUAUAGUUACAUACCACUGCUUCUUCACGUGCCUUGAGAAGCCUCGCGAGAUUCUUAGAUAUUUUGAUGGGAUGUUAGAUAGUGGUGUCCGGCCAAGGAUGGACACGUAUGUCAUGCUCAUGAGGAAGUUUGGAAGAUGGGGUUUCCUUCGUCCUGUUUUUAUUCUCUGGGAUAAGAUGGCCUUACAUGGGCUGAGCCCGAAUGAGUGUGCUUAUAAUGCUCUGAUUGAUGUUUUGCUGCAGAAGGGUUUGGUUGACAUGGCUCGAAAAUAUGAUGAAGAGAUGUUUUCGAAAGGGCUUUCGCCUAAGCCAAGGGCUGAAUUGCAGACAAAAAUGGCUGAUGAAGGAUCUGGAGAUGGUUAGCUAGUUGCCUGUUUUUGGAAUUGUUACAUACAGAGGCUUGAUGCGAAUGGUAGAGCCCCUUGGAGCACUGAUAUCCCCUCCAUUAAUGACAUGUCUGCAGAUGAUGUUUCGGUUAACUGUGGCUCGAGUGGCGCUCCACAUUGCACAACAGAAGGGAAUGGCUCGGUGAUGAUGUACAUCCCAAAAUCUAAUCCUUGCUGCACAUAAAGGGAACAUCAACUGCCCCAAGUGUGUUGGGCAAGUUGAUUUCCAUAGACGAUCCGUUCCCAGAUCGAACAGCGCAUGUUUCUCGUUCUCAGUUCUCUUAUUCGUUUCAAGUGAGCCCAAGUAAGAAAAUUCUCCUCUUUCACUUCAACCCCUUUGUGUGCAUAGGCUUCAAAGAUUUUGAUUUGUUUAUGGUUGAAGGCUUGAAGCCAAUUUUUUUACCCUUUUCAAAAAAAGUUAUUUUUUCUGUUA